CUGCGCAAGCUACUGCCUUGCUA
rnacentral:ncRNA from 3 species